rnacentral:rRNA from 1 species
GAUGAACGCUGGCGGCGUGCCUAAUACAUGCAAGUCGAGCGAAUGGAUUAAGAGCUUGCUCUUAUGAAGUUAGCGGCGGACGGGUGAGUAACACGUGGGUAACCUGCCCAUAAGACUGGGAUAACUCCGGGAAACCGGGGCUAAUACCGGAUAACAUUUUGAACCGCAUGGUUCGAAAUUGAAAGGCGGCUUCGGCUGUCACUUAUGGAUGGACCCGCGUCGCAUUAGCUAGUUGGUGAGGUAACGGCUCACCAAGGCAACGAUGCGUAGCCGACCUGGAAGGGUGAUCGGCCACACUGGGACUGAGACACGGCCCAGACUCCUACGGGAGGUAGCAGUAGGGAAUCUUCAGCAAUGGACGAAAGUCUGACGGAGCAACGCCGCGUGAGUGAUGAAGGCUUUCGGGUCGUAAAACUCUGUUGUUAGGGAAGAACAAGUGCUAGUUGAAUAAGCUGGCACCUUGACGGUACCUAACCAGAAAGCCACGGCUAACUACGUGCCAGCAGCCGCAGUAA